AUUGAACGCUGGCGGCAGGCCUAACACAUGCAAGUCGAACGAGUGGCGGACUGGUGAGUAAUGUCUGGGAAACUGCCUGAUGGAGGGGGAUAACUACUGGAAACCGUAGCUACUACCGCAUACCAUCGGAUGUGCCCUGGUGGGAUUAGCUAGUGGGUGGGGUAAAGGCUCACCUAGGCGACGAUCCCUAGCUGGUCUGAGAGGAUGACCAGCCACACUGGAACUGAGACACGGUCCAGACUCCUACGGGAGGCAGCAGUGGGGAAUAUUGCACAAUGGGCGCAAGCCUGAUGCAGCCAUGCCGCGUGUAUGAAGAAGGCCUUCGGGUUGUAAAGUACUGUCAGCGGGGAGGCGUUACCCGCAGAAGAAGCACCGGCUAACUCCGUGCCAGCAGCCGCGGUAAUUC
rnacentral:rRNA from 1 species